CUCAACGAUUUCACGCCACGGUUCGGUUCCUCGUCGCAAGAGGAAUUUAAGCGGACUUUGCCAGGAAGUCCUGUUGGAAGCCGACCGGGUGCUGCAGUGGGGGUGGGGGCAUGGAGGGGGCUGAGCGCUGGCACCCUGGCUGCCCCCCUCCACCGCCUCGACCCCCCACCCCAGCCCUGGGCCAGAGUUCAUUAUUCACGGGCAUCCCGGCUUCCCUCCUGGCACGCACCAUGUGCCAUGCGUAGGCUCCGAGGACUGCGGCGAGGCCACCCAGACCCUGCCCUCUGGGGCUUGAGUCCAACGGUGGGGGAAACACUGAUGGGGGAACCACGGCUCCCAGGGGGCCCGGGGCCAGGGUGGUCAGAGCCAAGGGUGCACAGCUGUAGGCGGAGCAGCCUGGACGCCCAUGUCGCUCCCGGGAGGCAGGACGAUGGAUCCCAGCAGACUUUCAGAGAGACGGGUGUUGUCUUUCUCCAGGCAGAUCACAGGAAGAUUUUCAGAAAGAUCACAGAUCUUCCUCGUAAGCUCCUGGUGGCAGUUGAGGAAGACAACUCUGCGGGAAGGUACAGCCCUCUCUACAUUCGCAGCCCCCGGGGGCUGGCACUUCCAUGGUGGCCCAUACUCGAUCCUCAACAGUCCAGUAAACAUUUCGGCCAGGUUAAUGGUGUCCACCACUCUUGGGGCCUGUCUCUCCCUGCAGCCAUCUCCCUUCCUAGAUUUCAAGCCACUUGACUUUCUUGUGACAUCCAUUCUCUGGCGCGUUCUGUAAAGGCUGUUGCUGUUUUCCAGCAUUUGUCUUCUUGUAAGAAAGGGAGUGAUGGUGUUCCUACUCCCUCCGUCCCUGAGCCGGGAUCACAAGUCCCCAGGAGUCAAUCAACAAUGAAAUGAUCUAGAAAAUGAAAAUGCUAAAGUAAAAGCUAAUGACUUAGAGUCAUAGCGAUAGUCACCGGGAGCAUCCUAUCCCAACGUGGCUGGAAGUGGUGUCUCGGGGGACGUGUCUGGGGGAGUCCUGGUAGAGGACAUCUGUUUUUAUUUUGUGUCCCUUUGUGCUUUUCUAUUAAGAGCAAACCACUCGUGUUGGUUUGCUUAGGAACCAGUUACACACACACACACACACACACACACACACACACGCCCACAGACCCCUAAAGGAGCAGCCAGAGAAGUAGCAGGUGGGUCAGGGUGGUCCCCAUGGUCGUUAUUAAAGAGAGGU
rnacentral:lncRNA from 12 species